rnacentral:lncRNA from 1 species
GUGCCUAGAGGAUGCAUGGUGGAGGGUUAGAAACUAGAAACGGCGCCCACCGCUGGAUCAGGCCAUCGCGGUGGAGUUCUAUGGCCCGGCUUGGGGGAUAGACAGGUUACCUCAAGCUGUUCCCUUCCUGUCAGUUCAAUGUGGGUUAUGGCUUUUAUUAAUCUCAUACCUAGUGUAGUCAUCCAUCCGGAUGAUGAGGAGGGGAGGAGUGGGAGUGACAGCCGUGAGGCUGUGGUGUGUGGAAAUCCUGUUGAUAACAGGAUUCCCGAGCCCGUGGUCAGCGAGUUUAAGGAUGUGGAGGCCAUGCAGGCCCCGGACAUCCGGCUCACCCGGAGCAAGAGUAAGAAGGGUUUGGU